GCACUCAAAGAGAUGAGGAUCGGAGAAGAUCGCGUCACCAAGGCUCGGGCACAAGUGCUGAAGCGCCAAUUUCACAAGUUGCAGAUGGAGGAAACUGAAUCGGUGAACGACUAUGCCAUGCGUCUGACUACAUUGGUGGGAGAGAUCCGCGCGCUUGGUGCAAAGCUCGAGGAGACCGAGAUUGUGGAGAAGUUUUUCAGUUCGGUGACUGAUAAAUUCACGUACAUCAUUGGCACGCUCGAGCAGCUUUACGACAUCGACGACAUGACCAUAACGGAGGCGAUCGGACGCUUGCGGACAUGGGAAGAGAAUGCUCGUGGUUGUCGGAAAGGCAAAGAA
rnacentral:rRNA from 1 species